rnacentral:tRNA from 1 species
GAGGUCAUAAGUUAUGUAAACUGUUACUGUUCAAAAGUAGUUAAGAAGGCGUGGCUUUCUGGCCUUG